ACUGCCCCUAGAAUCAUUGCUGGUGUGGCUGAUGUAUCACAUGUGCUUCAAUAAGUGGCAAAGAGGAGAGAGGUUACGUCUAUGCUCACUGUUCUGGUAUGAACAUCUGAAUGAUUAGUAGCCUAACAUU
ensembl:snoRNA Gm23749 small nucleolar RNA SNORA17